rnacentral:lncRNA from 1 species
AGAAUGUUAUGGAACUUUCCAUCUGAUGAAACACCGGAGUAACUGGUUGAGAUUGAAGAGGCUGUAGAGGUAGUUGUAGCACUUCAACUUCACCUUCAAGCAUUUCCACUACUUCACUCAUUGAAGGGCGUUGUACCGGAUUUGUUUGUGUGCACCAUAACGCAACUUUAGUCAUCUUUCUGCUUAUCUUCUUUUCAUCUUCAUCCGCCACUAUUUCCUUCCCCUUGUUGAACUUAUCAUAAA